AAGUGUUACAACUCUUUCAGAAUUUGUCUAGUGGGUUUUCUGGUAACCCUC
rnacentral:snRNA from 1 species